UGAGGAAUAUUGGUCAAUGGGCGAGAGCCUGAACCAGCCAAGUAGCGUGCAGGAUGACGGCCCUAUGGGUUGUAAACUGCUUUUAUAUGGGAAUAAAGUGAGGGACGUGUCCCUUAUUGCAUGUACCAUACGAAUAAGGACCGGCUAAUUCCGUGCCAGCCGCCGCGGUAAUACGGAAGGUCCAGGCGUUAUCCGGAUUUAUUGGGUUUAAAGGGAGCGUGUGCUGUUUGUUAAGCGUGUUGUGAAAUGUAGGAGCUCAACUUUUAGAUUGCAGCGCGAACUGGCAGACUUGAGUGCGCACAACGUAGGCGGAAUUCAUGGUGUAGCGGUGAAAUGCUUAGAUAUCAUGACGAACUCCGAUUGCGAAGGCAGCUUACGGGAGCGCAACUGACGCUAAAGCUCGAAGGUGCGGGUAUCGAACAGG
rnacentral:rRNA from 1 species